GUUUGCUUCGGCAGUUCACGUACUAAAAUUGGUGCCAUACAGAGAAGAUUGGUCUUGUCCCUGCGCAGGAUGAUAUGCACGUUCCUGACACGGUCCAUAUAAAA